UUGCUCUUCUUGGAUGAGUUGCGAACGGAUGAGUAACGCGUAUGUAACCUGCCUUGUAGCGGGGGAUAACUAUUGGAAACGAUAGCUAAUACCGCAUAACAAUGGGUGACUCAUGUCAUUUAUUUGAAAGGAGCAAAUGCUCCACUACAAGAUGGACCUGCGUUGUAUUAGCUAGUAGGUGAGGUAACGGCUCACCUAGGCGACGAUACAUAACCGACCUGAGAGGGUGAUCAGCCACACUGGGACUGAGACACGGCCCAGACUCCUACGGGAGGCAGCAUUAGGGAAUCUUCGGCAAUGGGGGCAACCCUGACCGAUCAACGCCGCGUGAGUGAAGAAGGUUUUCCGAUCGUACAACUCUGUUGUAAGUCAAGAACGAGUGUGAGAGUGGAAAGUUCACACUGUGACGGUAGCUUACCAGAAAGGGACGGCUAACUACGUGCCAGCAGCCGCGGUAAUACGUAGGUCCCGAGCGUUGUCCGGAUUUAUUGGGCGUAAAGCGAGCGCAGGCGGUUUGAUAAGUCUGAAGUUAAAGGCUGUGGCUCAACCAUAGUUCGCUUUGGAAACUGUCAAACUUGAGUGCAGAAGGGGAGAGUGGAAUUCCAUGUGUAGCGGUGAAAUGUGUAGAUAUAUGGAGGAACACCGGUGGCGAAAGCGGCUCUCUGGUCUGUAACUGACGCUGAGGCUCGAAAGCGUGGGGAGCGAACAGGAUUAGAUACCCUGGUAG
rnacentral:rRNA from 1 species